rnacentral:rRNA from 1 species
UACGGAGGAUGCAAGCGUUAUCCGGAAUGAUUGGUCGUAAAGCGUCCGCAGGUGGCUGUGUAAGUCUGCUGUUAAAGAGCAAGGCUCAACCUUGUAAAGGCAGUGGAAACUACACGGCUAGAGUGCGUUCGGGGCAGAGGGAAUUCCUGGUGUAGCGGUGAAAUGCGUAGAGAUCAGGAAGAACACCGGUGGCGAAAGCGCUCUGCUAGGCCGCAACUGACACUGAGGGACGAAAGCUAGGGGAGCGAAUGGG